rnacentral:rRNA from 1 species
CCUACGGGAGGCAGCAGUGGGGGAUAUUGCACAAUGGGGGGAACCCUGAUGCAGCGACGCCGCGUGGGUGAAGAAGCGCCUCGGCGCGUAAAGCCCUGUCAGCAGGGAAGAAAAUGACGGUACCUGAAGAAGAAGCCCCGGCUAAAUACGUGCCAGCAGCCGCGGGAUUACGUAGGGGGCACGCGUGAGCCGGAUGUACUGGGUGUAGAGGGGGCGCAGACGGCGAUGCAGGCCAGGAGUGAAAGCCGGGGGCCCAACCCCGGGACGGCUUUUGGAACUGCGUGGCUGGAGGGCAGGAGGGGCAGGCGGAAUUCCUGGUGUAGCGGUGAAAUGCGUAGAUAUAAGGAGGAACACCGGUGGCGAAGGCGGCCUGCUGGACUGCAACUGACGUUGAGGCCCGAAAGCGUGGGGAGCAAACAGGAUUAGAUACCCUGGUAGUC